rnacentral:rRNA from 1 species
CCUACGGGGCGCAGCAGUGGGGAAUAUUGCACAAUGGGCGAAAGCCUGAUGCAGCAACGCCGCGUGAAGGAAGAAGGUCUUCGGAUCGUAAACUUCUGUCCUUGGGGAAGAUAAUGACGGUACCCUUGGAGGAAGCCCCGGCUAACUACGUGCCAGCAGCCGCGGUAAUACGUAGGAUGCGAGCGUUAUCCGGAUUUAUUGGGUUUAAAGGGUGCGCAGGCGGAAUGUCAAGUCAGCGGUAAAAUUUCGGGGCUCAACCCCGUCGUGCCGUUGAAACUGGCGUUCUUGAGUGAGCGAGAAGUAUG